rnacentral:rRNA from 1 species
CCUACGGGUGGCAGCAGUGAGGAAUAUUGGUCAAUGGCCGGAAGGCUGAACCAGCCAUGCCGCGUGAAGGUCAGUGCCCUAUGGGCGUUAAACUUCUUUUGUGCGGGAGCAAUAAUGGUCACGUGUGGCCAGACGAGAGUACCGUACGAAUAAGCAUCGGCUAACUCCGUGCAAGCAGCCGCGGUCAUACGGGGGUUGCAAGCGUUAUGCGGAUUGAUUGGGGAUAAGGGUUGCGUAGGCUGGGAGGUAAGUCAGCGGUGAAAUGCCCACGCUCAACGGGGUGAAGUGCCAUUGAUACUUCUUUGCUGGAAUGCGGAUGCCGUGCGAGGAAUGUGGGGUGUAGCGGUGACAUGCAUAGAUAUCACACAGAACCCCGAUUGCGAAGGCAUCUCACGAAUCCGCGAUUGACGCUGAUGCACGAAAGCGUGGGUAUCAAACAGGAGUAGAUACCCCGGUAGUC